CCCCACUUUGACGUUGUUAGCAAGUGGGGGGCAAGAGUUUAGCAAUGGCCUGCUUUUGUCCAUUCGGUGUGAAGUUAACCCCUUCAUGUCCUUUUUCUUUAUGCCGCCACCUGAAUUUCAUCAUUUGACUUGAAAAGAGUUACUAUGGAGACUGUUGGGAAUUCCUUAGAAUUCCAGGGUUUGCUGUUUACAGGCCUGGGAGAUGGGAGCAACGUGAACCAGUGGAGGCUCCUCAGAGGAGGACGGUGCUCUCUGCCUGUGUCUUGUCAGUGUUCGGGAUCCCCAUGAUAUCCCUCUGUCUUCAAUUGAUCCUAAAGAACAGGACUAGAGACAGUUAUUAUACUAUAAAAAAACGUUCUUCAUGACAUAGGUUUAUAAAUAAUUGUAGAUAUUGUCAAAUCUACUGUGGUCUUUGACCAGGAUUCUCUUGAAAAUAGUAUUUUAAAAAAACUAGAUUAAGUUUCAAUAAAUAAAGGCUUUAACACAACCCAGAGAGCUAACUGGGAGAAAGU